ACUCCUCCUGUGACCACCAGCGCUGCAAUGAGGGUUAUUAAGAGUGGUUAGAAAGGGGAGCAGUUGGGCUGUUCUAAACUUAGCGUAACCUGAAGCAAGCCAUGAGGUAUCCCCUGGUUCCUCUGGUGAACGAGCUGACCUUUCCACUGCUUUUCUUCUGGUUCUGUUUGCCUUUUGUAAUGCUGCUGAUCGUCGCCAUUAUCUGGCUACAGCUGCUGCUCAGUGAAGAUGCCCAGAAUAGAAAAGAUUAAGAAAGACUCUCCUGAUGAGCCUGAUUCUGACUCUGAAGAUGAAUUAACAGAGGAAGAAAGCCAGAGUGAUGCAUCCAGUACGGAGAUGCAAGAGGAGUCACAAUCCAGUGGAACUAUGAGAAGACUGAGGCCCAAACCUGCUUAUCUGAGCUUAAAUCCAAAAAGCCAAAAGCAAAGUCUUGCUGUGACCUUGAACAGCUGCUCCCAGAGGCAGAAGAUAAGAUAUUUCCCUACUGAAAAGAGCAUUUUCUGUAACAUCCUGGUGAAGGGGCUCACA